UUGUAAUUAAUUCCAGGUCAGAUUAUCCUGGGCACUGCGCAAAGUAUGGGUCAUACUCUCUGAUAGAGGACAGAGUGAACAAGGUGGUGGAUGUUCAGCUUGUUCAGAGCUCAGAGGUCCCCAACAGCUCAUGGUGUGAGCUUGAAGGCCUCAAGCGCAGUGUUGGCCUGCUGAGGGGAAACGACCUGCAUUUGGCAACGCUGAUCACGGACCGACAUCGCCAGGUUGCCAAAUGGGUGAGAGAGGAGCUGAUCCCUGAAGGGACACAGCAUUAUUUUGACGUGUGGCACAUUGGCAAAAGUAUG